GACGAACGCUGGCGGCGUGCUUAACACAUGCAAGUCGAACGGAAAGGCCCUGCUUUUGUGGGGUGCUCGAGUGGCGAACGGGUGAGUAACACGUGAGUAACCUGCCCUUGACUUUGGGAUAACUUCAGGAAACUGGGGCUAAUACCGGAUAGGAGCUCCUGCUGCAUGGUGGGGGUUGGAAAGUUUCGGCGGUUGGGGAUGGACUCGCGGCUUAUCAGCUUGUUGGUGGGGUAGGGGCUUACCAAGGCUUUGACGGGUAGCCGGCCUGAGAGGGUGACCGGCCACAUUGGGACUGAGAUACGGACCAGACUCCUACGGGAGGCAGCAGUGGGGAAUAUUGCACAAUGGGCGGAAGCCUGAUGCAGCAACGCCGCGUGCGGGAUGACGGCCUUCGGGUUGUAAAACGCUUUAGCCUGUGACGAAGCGUGAGUGACGGUAAUGGGUAAAGAAGCACCGGCUAACUACGUG
rnacentral:rRNA from 1 species